rnacentral:rRNA from 1 species
CCUACGGGAGGCAGCAGUGAGGAAUAUUGGUCAAUGGACGAGAGUCUGAACCAGCCAAGUAGCGUGAAGGAUGACGGCCCUAUGGGUUGUAAACUUCUUUUAUAUGGGAACAAAACAGGGUAUGCAUACCCUCUUGUAUGUACCAUAGGAAUAAGCAUCGGCUAACUCCGUGCCAGCAGCCGCGGUAAUACGGAGGAUUCGAGCGUUAUCCGGAUUUAUUGGGUUUAAAGGGUGCGUAGGUGGAUUGUUAAGUCAGCUGUGAAAGUUAGGGGCUCAACCGUUAAAUUGCAGGUGAAAGUGGCUGUCUUGAGUACAGUAGAGGUAUGCGGAAUUCGUGGUGUAGCGGUGAAAUGCUUAGAUAUCACGAAGAACUCCGAUUGCGAAGGCAGCUCACUGGAGUGCAACUGACGCUGAUGCUCGAAAGUGUGGGUAUCGAACAGGAUUAGAUACCCCUGUAGUC